rnacentral:lncRNA from 1 species
CCCCUUUCCCCUUGUCCCCUUGUCCCCUUGUCCCCUUUCCCUUUUCCCUUUUCCCUUUUCCCCUUUCCCUUUUCCCCUUUCCCUUUUCCCUUUUCCCUUCUCCCUUUCCCCUUUCCCCUUUCCCCAUUUCACCUUCCCCGUUCCCCCUUUCCUCCUUUCCACCUUCCUCCUUGGCACACAUCACAUCUUUCUUUCCCUCUAAAAGGUGGGGGGACUGGGAAAGGGGGCAAGGGAAAAGGGGGGAACCUUUCUUUCCCCCUAAAUAAAGAAAAGGGGAAGGGGAAAAGUGGGGAGGGGGAAAGGUGAAAUGGGGGAGGAGGAAAGGUUUUUCCCCCUUGCCCCUUACCCCCUUUCUCCUUUCCAUUCCCACUUUCUCCUUUCCCCCUCCCCCUUUCUCCUUUCCCCCUCCCCCUUUCCCCUUUCCCCCUCCCCCCUUUCCCCAUUUCCCCUUCCCCCUUUCCCCCUUCCCACCUUCCUCCUUGGCACACAUCACAUCUUUCUUUCCCCCUUAAGGGGGGGGGGAGGGAAAGGGAAAAGGGGAAACUGGGAAAGGGGGAAAACCUUUCUUUCCCCCUAAAGAAAGAAAAGGGGAAGGGGAAGAGUGGGGAGGGGGAAAGGAGAAAUGGGGGAGGGGAAAGGUUUUUCCCCCUUGCCUCUUGCCCCCUUUCUCCUUUCCCUUCCCACUUUCUCCUUUUCCCCUCCCCCUUUCUCCUUUUCCCCUCCCCCUUUCCCUUUUCCCCCUCCCCCCUUUCCCCAUUUCCCCUUCCCCCUUUCCUCCUUGGCACACAUCACAUCUUUCUUUCCCCCUAAAGGGGGGAGAGGGAAAGGGGAAAGGGGGCAGGGGGAAUGGGGGAGAAGGGGAGAGGGAAAGGGGAAACUGAAAAAGGGGAAAGGGGGCUGGGGGAAAGGGGGAAAGGGGAAAGGGGGCAAGGGGAAAGGGGAAAAAACUUUUUCCCCCUGUACUGGCUAGAAGUAAGCCAGUAAAGGACAUCCCUCCAUGGCUUCUGCAUCAGCUCCUGCUCCCUGACCUGCUUGAGUUCCAGUCCUGACUUCUUUCAGUGAAAUAUAAGCUGAAUAAACCCUUUCCUCCCCCAACUGCUUCUUGGUCAUGUUUGUGCAGGAAUAGAAACCCUGACUAAGACAAAUUGGUACCAGCAUAGUGGGGUAUUCCUGUGACAACCUGACCAUGUUUUGGGGAAGACCGUGGAAAGACUUUGGAACUUUGGGCUACAAGAUCUAUUCCGUGUUAAGAACUCUGCAGGAUGUUGUAUAUGCACUUGGAAGAUAAUGUUGAGAACAGUGCAAAAGAUGGAAGCCUGGCUUGUGAAAUUUCAGAGGGAAGAUUAAAGACUCUUUUCAGGGCCAUUGCUAUUUUGAUUAUGAAGAUUCUGUGGUCCUGGUUAGCUGGGGCUAAAGAAUCAGCUGUGAUAAACAAGAUACCAGAACUACUAAAGCAAAAACUUUGCAUUACUGGGACUAUUGAUGCUGGUUAGCUGGAGCUCAGAAAUUAGCAGUGAUUAAGAAGAGACCAGCAUCUUUGAGGUGACAUCUUCUGGGAAGUGUUUUCUGAAAGCACAAAGAGGCUGUGUUCCAGAGAUAGCCAAGGUUGUACUCCUGAUGCAGCGGGACUUGGUAAUGUGUAAGGGUCCCCCAGGUGGUUCUGAUUUUGAAGGCAUGAAGGGGUCACGCAGAGCAGCUGAGGCUCGGCACUGUGAGAGGCCAUGGAAGGCCAUUGGUGAAGGUGCAGCCUCAGUUGCAAUUGACGGCCCAGGACUGAAGGGGUCAUGCAGUGUUUUGGAGAUGCCAGUACCAUGAGAUGACCACCAAGAGCAGCAGCCAUGGAGUACAGGCAUCUGGAGCCUAGAGGAUGACAGGUGUGCUGCAAAGGGCAUGGCUGGACCGAGGCCCUUGGAGGAAGCCAGAAGAUCGAGAGUUGGAUCCCAGACAUUGGAUAGUUGGAGAUUGAUUUUUGCUUUUGAUUGUGACUGUGCCCUGAUACUUUCUCUCUUGAUGCUUCCAUCAAGUUAAGAGACUUCUAAUUGUAAAAAGACUUUGGAUUUUAAAAGAGAUGGAUAUUUUAAAGAGAUUGAAAAUUUAAGAAUAUGUAAAGACUGUGGGAUGUUUAAAGUUAUUUAGACCUUGGGGAUGAAUAAGAAUGUAAGGGUUGAGGCUUAAUAGUGAUGUGUUUGUGUGUCAAGUUGACAAGGGGUCAAUUGUACUGCCUAGUUUUGUCAACUUGACACAGCUGGAGUUAUCACAGAGAAAGGCACUUCAGUUGGGGAAAUGCCUCCAGGAGAUCCAACUGUAAGGCAUUUUCUCAAUUAGUGAUCAAGGGGGGAAGGCCCCUUGUGGGUGGGAACAUCCCUGGGCUGGUAGUCUUGGUUCUAUAAGAGAGCAGAUUGAGCAAGCCAGGGGAAGCAAGCCAGUAAAGGACAUCACUCCAUGUCCUCUGCAUCAGCUCCUGCUCGAGUUCCAGUCCUGACUUCUUUCAGUGAAAUGUAAGCUGAAUAAACCCUUUUCUCCCCAACUGCUUCUUGGUCAUGAUGUUUGUGCAGGAAUAGAAACCCUGACUAAGACACCCCCUAAAGAAAGGGGGAAGGGGAAAAGUGGGGAGGGGAAAGGGGGGAAAAGGGAAAGGGGGGAAGGAGAAAUGGGGAGGGGGAAAGAUGUGAUGUGUGCCAAGGAGGAAGGUGGAAAGGAGGAAAGGGGAAAA